CGGGCUCACCGGGCUCCCGUGGCGGGGGCACGGCCGCGGGUGGGCCCCAGCCCCGAGCCCCCGGACCGGCCGCUUCCUCGGCGCGGCUGCUGCCGGAGCAUCCGGGAAAGGGGAGUUACCGUGACACCGUCGCAAGCAUUUCUGCCUUCUUCCCUUUCCUUUUUCUUUUUUUUUUUUUUGCUUUUUGUUUUUCCCCUUGUUCUUCUCCCAAAGCCCUUAAGAUCGCUGACUCUUUAUUCCCGCACCAACCUUGUGUAAAACAAGGGCACGGCGCCUCCGGGUCCCGCACCCGGCGCUGCGGAGCGCAGCGGGACGCGCAGGGGGACGCGCAGGGGGACGCGCCCCGCUCCGCCACCACCCGCUCGGCCCCGGCCUGCCGAGCCCCCGGCGGCGGCACCUGGCCCGGGGGCCGGCUCCCGGCCGGGGGACGCGGUUUGCUCGGCGGAGCCGCGGUGCCGGCCGCAGCUUUCGUUCGGAGCCCGGCGGCUGCCGCUGCCCUCGCUGCUCGCCCUCCCCGGCCGCUCCUCGGAGGCGGGUGGCGCCGGGACAAGGGGACAUUCACCUGGACAGGGUCUUCUUCUGCAUGAAUGAGUCUCAUUGUCAAACGCCCGAGCGCGUGUAGGUGCAGACACGUUCUGCAGCGCAGAAUUGAGUUUCUCGUUUGUACGGCAAAGCUAAAAAUUCGGGUAGCUUCGGGCUUGUUUUUACAAGCUCCCAGCCGUAGAAGGCUUUCUGUUUUUACAGGAAAAAUUAGGCAGUCCAUAGACCAUGAUGGCUGCACAUCCAUAAUGUGAGCUUCAUGAGGAACAGAAUAACUUUAUUAUGAUCCGGACUGCAAUCACAUUGAAUAAAAGCUGAUCUAACAGGGCCUGAGGGAAAAGUCACAAACGGGCUCAAUUCUGCACUGCUUCCAACGGGAAUUUUAGAAGGAAGGGUCUGAAGAUCAGCAGAGCGGAUUUUACCCUUCAGCUGACACCGCGGAGAUACUUUGCACGGUCUCUUUCAUUUCGAGCCUGUUCCUACUGCCUGCAUAUCAAAGAAAUCUAUCUCGUUAGAAAGGAGCCUUCAACCUUUCCCCCCUUGCGUUCCUCCUUUCCACCCCUUCUCUCCCCACUUUCCUUCCCUGCAGCAUGAGCCGCAGCCCUCACUCCGGUGUGUUUGUUUAUGCUCAGAGGACAGGCCCACAGGAAAACAAACGAUAUAUUUCACUUUGUCAUUUGGUAGUUUCUCCCUUUCAUCUGAAAACACAGCCCGAUCCAGGGAAGGUUCCUGAAUUCACACAACCGGUUACAUGAUGAAAUGCAAACAGUUUCUCGUGGUAUUAAAUGGCAGCCCGCAGCAGAGUUCAGGUUGGCUGUUAUGGAUUCACUAGUUACGGCUCUGCAGGAUAAUCCUGUGUUACUGCCAUCCUGCCGUCAGUGGCCUACAGCAAUGCUGCCGAAUGCUGCAAAUAAAAACAAACAAGCCAGCCUCCUCUUUUCAGACAAAGUAGAAAUUAUGUCUCUUUAGGAAGCUCGAAGCAAAGAUCGUUUGUAUCAGGCUGACAACUUCCAAAGCAAGCUGCUCUUUCUAGCACUUAGAAAUCGAUGCUUGUUUUUCUACAAAGCACGGGUGAAAAAAAAAAAAAAAAGGAAAAGAAUAAUACAAGUCCACUUAUGUCCAGAUCACCCAGAAGUUGCAAAUUAAUAGUAUUGUACAACAAAAUUAAAGCCAAGUCAGCCUUCUCCCACUGUUACUACAGAGACACACUGUUUAACAGACCACUGCUUUUAGGCAAUCAAAAAUCUGCACGCUUGUUUAGACUGUUUCAAAAAUUGCAGUGUUUGAUAAAGAUCAAACUAGGGAAAGUGGUACAAAUUUCAGAUUAUUUGAAAAAGGAGGCUUCAGGGAAAAAUCUUCCAAACAACCUAGGGACAUCAAAGAGAAUUUAUGCCUUCCAUUAUUUCUCAGAGCACGCGGGUCCCCAGCUACAGCCAUGAUUCCUCUCUGAACCCAUGUAACCUACUCAAGCCCGUUUUCACCCCGAGCCUCAGACGUUACUGCUCUGAGGAAAUGACAUCUGAAAUGUCAUUCAGGUGGCAAGCUGAAGCUCCUAAAUUCAGGAGGCAGAGCUCUGCAACAUAACAACACGACUGCGCUGCUAGUUGCUGGGAGAGGAGCAGUCCCUCCCUCACCUGCUAAACCUUUGCUGACAGGAGCCCUCUUAAACACACGGCCGUGCUGGCAGAGCUGUUUGCCUCUCGCAAGCCUGAGGCUGCAACAAGCAACAGGAGCUGGCAGCCUCAGCCACGUCCACGCCGGGAGGGUUUGCUGCUGCGGUACACGGGGAUAGGCGUUCUCAGGCUGGGGCUGGGGGGUUCCCGCUCCUACAGCAGACCUGGCCAGAUGGGGACAUGCUUUCUCAUGCUUGCAGCUAGGCUAAUUUUAGUAUGAGAGAGUUGCUCACAAUGACUCAUUUGUGCUGCUGAAUUCGGGCACCGUACCUGUGUGCCGAGAAUUCGAGUUUUCUUUUUAGCAGCUCCGUGAGAACUUGGAUGGCAUGCUCAGAGCUCUCUGCCCUCUUUGUGCAGGCUCCUGCAGGGGAAGUGCUGCCCUGGGAGCAAAGCUGUAUGUAUGAAUAUGCCAACAUGCUGUACAGCCUGCUUGUACACUGCGAUUUUAUCAUCUAUAUUACUAUGACCACGCUAUUCAUGUUCCUUUUCCAUUUCUGAGCCACUAGAAGCAACAGGACUUAGUAAAGCUAUGCAGUGAUGCCCCAAGCUCUUCCGGAGUUUGCAGAAUGGGCCAGGCUAGCCAGGAACAGGGUGCCUGGUUUUAACAUCAGACUGCCCACAACUGACGUUUAUGUCUGUGCUACCUACAUUAACAACUUGUGAGUAAGUCCACAGACACACAAGCUUCUUAUUGAACAGCAGCCCCAAGUGAGGCACUCGGAGAUUAUCUUGCUAGAUGCAGAGGGCAGAGCAGCAGUGAGAAAGGACUACCAGGCACCUGGCUGCAAUCACUUCCUCUUAAAAACUGGACGUGUUACACGCAGCCCAUGUUUGGGAGCAGUACGUGGCGCUGCCACACUGACGUACAAGCAGCCUGCAGGAACCGGAGCCCUGAAGCCAUUUCUGCUUUCUCUGCUCCCUGGUCAGAACUGGUGCACUUGACAACCUCCAGCCCCAGGCUCUAGCUGUGCCCUGCUGAGUGCAUGCUACCCUUUAAAACAAUCAGAAGCACAGCCAGCUUUGGAGUUAAAGAAAAAAAAAAAAAGAAAGGGCAUUUGUCUUCCUUGCUUGAGUAUCUAUAGGGUCUUGCCUACUACAUCAGAGGCACGGCAAGCACCUUAAUGUUACCUGUGCAAGGACUGAGGUGAGGGACAAUCAUGCCUUGUUGACUUGUGAUUCGUGGAGCUGCUAUAAGCCUGUGUUUUGAGAAAUCAUUUGUUAGGAGGCUCCCCCCUUUCCAGAGAGACUGUGAGGUUUUGAAUCUUUGUUCUACAAGCGAUUCUUCCUUGAAGCUAUUAAAACACUUUUGUUGUGAAAAAAGGAAAAAAAAAA